GACGAACGCUGGCGGCGUGCCUAAUACAUGCAAGUCGAGCGGACAGAUAAGGAGCUUGCUCCUUUGAAGUCAGCGGCGGACGGGUGAGUAACACGUGGGCAACCUGCCUAUAAGACUGGGAUAACUCCGGGAAACCGGGGCUAAUACCGGAUAGAUUCUUUCCUCUCAUGAGGAAAGAAGGAAAGAUGGUUUCGGCUAUCACUUAUAGAUGGGCCCGCGGCGCAUUAGCUAGUUGGUAAGGUAACGGCUUACCAAGGCGACGAUGCGUAGCCAACCUGAGAGCGUGAUCGGCCACACUGGGACUGAGACACGGCCCAUACGCCUACGGGAGGCAGAAGUAGGGAAUCGUCCGCAAUGGACGAAAGUCUGACGGAGCAACGCCGCGUGAACGAAGAAGGCCUUCGGGUCGUAAAGUUCUGUUGUUAGGGAAGAACAAGUACGAUAGUAACUGAUCGUACCUUGACGGUACCUAACCAGAAAGCCACGGCUAACUACGUGCCAGCAGCCGCCGUAACAC
rnacentral:rRNA from 1 species